GACGAACGCUGGCGGCGUGCUUAACACAUGCAAGUCGAACGGAAAGGCCCUGCUUGCAGGGUGCUCGAGUGGCGAACGGGUGAGUAACACGUGGGUGAUCUGCCCCUUACUUUGGGAUAAGCCUGGGAAACUGGGUCUAAUACUGGAUAGGACCAUGCUGUAGGGGGUGUGGUGGAAAGAUUAGUUUCGGUAAGGGUUGAGCUCGCGGCCUAUCAGCUUGUUGGUGGGGUAAUGGCCUACCAAGGCGUCGACGGGUAGCCGGCCUGAGAGGGUGGACGGCAACAUUGGGACUGCGAUACGGCCCAGACUCCUGCGGGAGGCAGCAGUGGGGACUAUUGCACAAUGGGCGCACGCCUGAUGCAGCGACGCCGCGUGGGUGAUGACGGCCUUCGGGUUGUAAACUCCAUUCAGCCAUGACGAAGCCCUUGUGGUGACGGUAGUGGUAGAAGAAGCACCGGCUAACUACGUG
rnacentral:rRNA from 1 species